rnacentral:rRNA from 1 species
UACGUAGGGGGCAAGCGUUGUCCGGAAUCAUUGGGCGUAAAGCGCGUGUAGGCGGCCCGAUAAGUCCGCUGUGAAAGUCCAGGGCUCAACCCUGGGAUGCCGGUGGAUACUGUCGGGCUCGAGUCCGGAAGAGGAGUGUGGAAUUCCUGGUGUAGCGGUGAAAUGCGCAGAUAUCAGGAGGAACACCCGUGGCUAAGGCGGCUCUCUAGUACGGUACUGACGCUGAGACGCGAAAGCGUGGGGAGCGAACAGG